UGCAUUUAUCUUUCCUGUGAAUCCAGCCCUUAGAAUCCCAUGUUCACACAUCAUUGCUUGUGUGUAGAAGCUGAUUCACAAAUAUUCAGUAAGUGUAUUAUAUGGUGUCAUCUUACAUCCUUCCCAAGGGCAAAAAUCGUCUGCAACAAUGAAGGCUUGGACUCAUAAGCAGCAGCUGCAGAACUUUUGGAUGUGCAAGUCCACAUUUCUGCAUCUGUGAGCAAAACUCACCAAAAUAAAAGCUUACAAUGGAGAAGAAAAAAUAAUUGCACUAUGGGGAUCUGCAACACCAGAUUCUUAUUGGUCAAUCAGUGGUCUCUCUCCUAAACCAAGGUGGAAUGGAUUUCUUUAAUGUUGCACGAUGUCUGACUUGCCAGAAAGAGGGAAAGGAAUUAAAUCUGGAUACCACCUUGAAAAGUAUAAAGUUUAACCUGUAUAUUUGUGAAAGAUUGAGAAUAGAAUGUAGCUUCAUCAGCCUGUACCACCCACAAACCAAUGGCUUGGCUGAAAACGCUAAUAAAUCCAUAAAAAGAGCAUUGAGGAAGAUGGUUGAUGACAAUGGGAGUAAUUGGGAUGAAUUACUUGACCCCAUUUUGUUUUCUUUGCAAACUAAUGUAUACGCAACAACAAAAAUUUCACCCUUUCGACUAAUGUUUUGUGCUGACCCAGUGUUUCCAGAAGAAGUCUCAGAGAAUUACACGAUCCCAGAUAUGAAUACAUUUGGGGAAGAUUUCUGCAAAGAGUACAGCAUAAAUAUGAAAUCAAGACAUGAUGCUGACAUUGCACUGGCCCUAAGUAACAUUUCUAAAGCACAAGAAAAACAACAAAGACAUUAUGCUAAAAGAAAGAAUUCUAAAUAUGGGGAAAUAACAUUUGAUGUUGGGGACUCUGUUCUGUUAUGCUAGAAAGAGAACAAGAAAAGGAGGAGUACUGGAACCUAGGUAUAUUGGACCAUACAAAAUUACAGCUGUUGAAGGUAAGAGCGUGAAAUUACAAACCAUUGCAGGGAAACGGUUAAGAACCAUGUACAGUAUCGCACAUUUAAAACCAUUUAAAGAGCCACCAACAUUAGCUGCUGAAAGCACAUCAGAGGGAAAAAUCGGAACUGAAAUUGCAGUUGGUGACACUGAACCAGAAACACCCACAGAAGAGAUUAGAAAAAUGGAUGGCACUGUAUCUCACGACAGCACAGUGAAAAACAGAGGUCACAGCAAUGGAAGAAGGGGAGUAUAUAGGGCAAGAUGUUUCAAACAAUGAUACAAGUGAUGCUGAUGACAAUUUUGAUGACAUGCUUAUGGAGGAGGUGGAAGACAAGCAAUGGAUUCUGAAAGUCAAAUGUAUAAUGACCGGCAAACACACAGAGAGACUGGAGGCCAAAGUGAGAAACAUAAAAUUGUAUGGCUCUUCAUUUCAUUGCCUGAAACUGAGAAGUUAGAUAAGUGAUGAGGUACAUUUAAGUACCACUAAACAUGUAUUUGUUAAUAGGAUUGAUUCAUCAAAUAUUAUUGAAAUUGUGCCUUUUCUUUCAUCAUGUGUUGUAGGAGUCAGGUAAUUACUUUCUACCAUGUACUGUGGACUUAUUAGGCACAUGUGAAGAUAACAGGAAGAGUGGAAUUAUGUCACGUAGCAGACAGUUAUCUUAAUACCCCUAAAGUAGGAUAUAUCACAGGUUUGGUUCUGUAAUAGUGACUAUGAAUCAAUAAUAUCUUUAAGUACACAAAAAUUUGAAUGGGGUGAAUGGUUGCUAUUGAUCGAACAGUUGAAUGAAAUUGGUAUUCUUAUAUACAGGUGCAGUAAAGUAAAAAUUUGAGAAAAUAUGACUCACAAAAAAGAAAAAGAUUGUUCAAACCAGUGACUGGAUUAAAAUAUUGACAUUAAUUAAUAAAUCAAGAUUUGCAUUUUCAGUGUUGGUCAUAACAUAUUCAUCAUUUCAUAGCUCUAUAUUUAUUUUUAAGAAAACGUGGAGGACUACUGCAUAUACUGCAACCUUGCCAACUGUGAAAAGGAAGGUGAGGAUUGCACGAUGUUCCAGUGUGAUUCUUGCAAGAGGUGGGCACAUAUGCCCUGCAUUACAGAAGGAACCAAUCAAGACUACCUGACUGAGGAGAAGAAAGAGUACAACUGCAAAAAUUGUGCAUAGUUCCCUUCUUUACCAAAAAAAAAAACAAAAAAAAAACAACAACAAAAAACAUUAUAUUUAAAUGCCUCUUGUUCCAAACAUAAUGCAACCAAAAGAAAAAUUUUUAUUUAUAUACCAGAUUACAAUAAUAAAUGUUUUUUAU